rnacentral:lncRNA from 1 species
UUCCAGAAGGAGAGAGGAGAGAGUCGGGGCGGAGGGGAGCGAGAAGGGAGAGGGAAGGAGGUCGUGGACGGACGACGCGACCGGCAGGAAGAAGGAAGAUGGAAACGGGAGGUACGGUGAAAAUUUGAGCUGUUGGUGUGGUGUGUGUGUGUAGAGAAUUUUGUGCAGGUGCGGCGUCGGCAAUGGCGCGACGGAGUGGAGCAGUGAAGGUAGGCCGUAAGCGUGGGGUUGUCCCGCGCGCUCACGGAGGUGAUCGGGGAAGGAAUGGAAAGUAUGGCGGUGUUGGAGGCGUGUGGGGAGCCGUGGGGAAGGAUGGGGGUGGUGCGGGUAGAACAGAGUGAGGAGGAUGUGAGAGAAUAAUCUAGGAGGCGCGGGUGGGAUAAAAACUCAAGAGAACAGAAGAGGUGUGUGCGUGGUGUGUGCGUGGGUGAGGAUGUGGAGGGAGUCGCUAAUAGGCGGUGAUGUGUUUCCCCGAAAUGCACGGUGGUGAGGGCGUGUAUGUGGUGUGAAACGGUGCAAGCUGAGAGGUUAAUCGCCCUAGGUAGGCAAAAGUGUAUAGGAACCGGGAGGAGGCAGGAGGAUGGGGGAGGUAGCGGGUAGGGGGCAGUGGGAGAGGGAAGGGAGCUGGAAGGUACGGCAGUGGGGACUAGGAAACCGGAUUUGAGGGGGAUUGGAUGGGAGAAGGGGAGUAAUGUGGUCAGUAGGAGUUAGCAAGUUAGAACGCUUGGGACUAGCAUGGUAUAAGGAGAGAUGGGAGCAUGCGGUUUGGGAGGGGGAAUUGGGAGGCCGUUGGUAGGGGAGGGUGGAGUUGCCGAUGUUGGUGGAGCAGGGAGGGGAUAUGUAUGUGAGUGUGGCCUAGCAAGGCCGAGAGGGGUAGAAGGGUGCAUGAGUCACGGAUGGUGGUGACGGGAGGUGGAAAUGUUGUGUGUGUGCGUGGCCCAACGAGGUCGAGAGAUGGAGGAGUGAGUAUGAGUCGCCGAUGUUGGUGACGCGAGACGAUGGUAUUUGUGUGUGUGUGUGUGGCCUCUUUAGGUCGAGAGGUGGAGGAUUGAGCAUGAGUCGCCGAUGUUUGUGACGCGAGACGAUGGUAUUUGUGUGUGUGUGUGGCCUCUUUAGGUCGAGAGGUGGAGGAUUGAGCAUGAGUCGCCGAUGUUGGUGACGCGAGACGAUGGUAUUUGUGUGUGAGUGUGGCCUCUUUAGGUCGAGAGGUGGAGGAUUGAGCAUGAGUCGCCGAUGUUGGUGACGCGAGACGAUGGUAUUUGUGUGCGUGUGUGGCCUCUUUAGGUCGAGAGGUGGAGGAUUGAGCAUGAGUCGCCGAUGUUGGUGACGCGAGACGAUAGUAUUUGUGUGUGUGUGUGGCCUCUUUAGGUCGAGAGGUGGAGGAUUGAGCAUGAGUCGCCGAUGUUGGUGACGCGAGGCGAUGGUAUUCGUGUGUGUGUGUGGCCUCUUUGGGUCGAGAGGUGGAGGAGUGAGUGUGAGUCGCCGAUGUUGGUGACGCGGAAUAAUGGUGUGUGGGUGGGUGCGUGGCCUAUUAGGUCGAGAGGUGGAGAUAUGGGUAUGAGUCGCCGAUAUUGGUGACGUGGAAUGAAGGUGGUUGGUCGGGGUUUGCAGCGAUAACUUGGUGGAGUAAGAACGGAAUUGGGAUCCGAGCGGCUGGUAACGGAGCCCCGUCGGUAGUGCCAUAGGGCACAAGUUUUGUUUGUGAUUUAAAGUAGUUUGAAAGGAUGGUUUAGUCUGGAUAUUGAAUAUCUAGGAAUGUUUGAUAUUGUAUUACUAUGUGCUGUAGAGGUGGAGAUGUAUGUACAAUUGAUUUGGAACAUGGAAGGUGGACCAAUUUCUCUUGUGCAUGGUUGGAAUAAUAUGGAUUUCGGUAUUGUGUUGUAUGAGUGCUUUAUCGUACACCGUUAAGAAAAAAAAAACGGGGUGUUACAGUUGGUAUCAGAGCAAAACUAAGUAUACCUACUAACUGGUAUAACUAUCCUGCAGGUGUGUCAAGGGAGGUGACGAAGAAAGGACGGGGCCGACCCCGUCGCGGAGCUGUCCCGGGGUUGCGGGACUCACCGGGGAUUCCACAACGACCACCUGGGUGUCCCCAGGUACCACUCCCAGCAUUUUACGGGCCACCCCCGUAUCAAGCGGUGCCCCCUCCCACACAACCGAGGCCCGCGCCUGGCCCAGCGGUAAACCAGACGGGACUGCCUGGGGUACAACAGGAAGACUUCAACCGACUGUGUAGAGUGGUGGAGAGUCUGGCCACAGUGAUCAGAGAUAGAGAACUACGGGCUGAGACAACCUCGGUCCCACAACCGGGGAUUCACCAGGGUGUGGUGGACACCAGCAAUAUUGAGAAGUAUCGAAGGUUAAACCCUCCUGCUUUCAAUGGGAGUACCGAUCCCUUGGUGGCGGAAGACUGGAUAAAGGAGACCGAAAAAUUAUUCGAAGCGAUCACAGUGACCACUGAACAGAAGGUGCAACUGGCCACAUUUAUGUUUAGAGGAUCCG